UACAGAGACUGCGAGCGUUAUUCGGAUUCACUGGGCGUAAAGGGUGCGCAGGUGGCCAGGUGUGUGGGGCGUGAAAGCCCGAGGCUUAACCUCGGAAUUGCACCUCAAACUACAUGGCUAGAGUACUGGAGAGGGAGACGGAAUUCACGGUGUAGCAGUGAAAUGCGUAGAUAUCGUGAGGAACACCAGAGGCGAAGGCGGUCUCCUGGACAGUUACUGACACUCAGGCACGAAAGCGUGGGGAGCAAAAGGG
rnacentral:rRNA from 1 species